CUACUCUUCAUUCAAUUCUCACACUGCAGAGCAAUCUAUACUCUAAAUAUAUAUAGCUAUAUACCCUCUUUGGCUUUCUAUACUUGUUUUCCAUUUAAGAUGGGUUGCUUCAAGAAUCUUGUCUUAAACAUGGUUUUGCUAUUUGUGAUUCUCUUAUCAAUGAAUCUCGCAAUAGCAAGACAGCCCCUUUGGAUAUCAGAGCCUCACUACACACAUGGACGCCACCUUCUGAAACAACCAGCAAGAGGCUACAAUUAUGGCGUCCCUGGGGGAAAGUGAAGCGGAGCUGGGUUGGGUUUCAAGGAGAAAAGUUUACUGUGGAGAAGCAGAUGUAUAACUGCAUAUGUACUAUGUUACUUUGUUUUGGAAUUACGAUUUCCUUUGAGUGUCAUCAAUAAUGUUAAUAAAUUCAGCUCAACUGUGUUAUUUUCCAA